CAUGAGAAAAACUGGGAAAGGAUGUGUCCCAUUUACAAUGAUACUGAGGUUAUAGAGGAGUUUUUGUCUACCUUUGAACACCUCUGCAAUCUGUACCAGAUCCCCGAGGGUCAGUGAAUGCCUGUCCUGCUGACCAGACUGACUGGAAAAGCCAGGGAGGCAGCAAAGGAAACGGUGGGGGGCCAUAGGUCCUGUCACAUGGCCCUGAGGCGCUAUCAGUAACUCAUCAGCCCAGCUGAGGGCUGUUAUCACAGCACAACAGGCAGCUGAGAGCAUCCCAGGAGGGAGACCGGUCCUGCUGGGGUCCUGGAGGCGAGAGCAGCGGUUCUGGGAGGGAGCACAGAGCCUGCCAGGGACCUGCCAGCUCUGGAAGUCUCUGGAUGAGGUUGAGGGUACGGUGGCCUUCUCCAGCGCCCAGUCCACACCUCUGGGGCUGUGCAGGUGGCAGUUCUGGCAUGUACCCCACGGGGCCCCACCCCGUCUCCCUUGUGAUCGGAGAGUGCUUGGGGCCAGUGUGUGUCUCAGACUGUGGGGUGAGCAGGGGAGCUAAUCCUGCGGUGUAACCCCAAGACAGACCCAUCUCUGCUGAGCCUUCUGUCUGCCCUGCUGCUCCAGCUCCAGGAAGGGAACCAAACUACAGCCGAGCCUGUGGCCAUUAGCCUCUGAGAGGCCAGGGGCUGGGAGUCAGGGCGGUAGGGCCAGACCCCAGUGCCUGGGAAGGGGGGGACGAGGGUUGGCCCAGCACCGGGCGUGGGGGUAGGCGGGGAGUGCAGGGCUCCUGUGACCCUCUCUCCCCCCAGCACACUCUGUACAGGGAUUGCAGACCCUCCCUGAGACUCUCGUACAUCCAGUUCCACUGACUCUUCCAGCGGACGCUGCUGUUGGGCCUGAUCCUGGUGUCGGCCUCCUUGGGCUACGUCCUCGCAAGGUGCGCGAGGGCAUCCCCAGGCGGCUCCUGGGCAGGGCACUGCUCCGGGGACAUCAGUGGGGAGCAGGCAGCGCCCACCUCUUGCCCAUCACCACCCCUGCAGCUCUGCUCUCAGACACCACGGACAGGUCCCUUCCUCCAGGGCCUGCAGCCUCUUUGCCAACUACACAGCUGCCUGGCAGGUGGUGGCAGAGGCUGUGUCAACCCACCUGCCCCCCUCAGCCCAGCUCGGCCUACAAUAUGCCAGGUCCGAUGCCUUCUGCUUCCCACGUCUCAUCAUGCUCAGGUACAGGCCCAGUUUGGGGCCAUAAGGACCCGGGCUAUAGGGUCGGGUUGAGGUCAGGGCCUGGGUUGGAGGCGACAUGGCCCAAGUGCAGUCUAGAGUCAAGGGCAGGAAUAGCAUCCGCAGCAGGGUCUUGCCGUAGGAUCAGGUCGCAGUCGAGGUCGAUGAGCCGCACCAGUUUGGAGCCCAGGAGCCCGCUGAAGUAGCGUUCGUGGAAGAGAAGCAGGGCGUCAGGUGUGGAGCCGGGAGCAAGGCCAGGUGUCGGGAGUGUGCAGCAGGGUCUGUUAGCAGCAGCAGCACGCGGCGAUCUGCCUAGUUGCACAGACAGCCUCCAGGUGUUUCCUCUAGCCCUUAAAUCGCACACCUGGGCCAGUCAAGGCACGCGCUAGGCUCCGUCAGCCAUGGCCUCUGUGGGCAGGACAUCCAGUGCUGCUCUGCCCCAUGACAGUCACGGUCCAUGCUCGCUGCUCUGCUGGGGGUGGCGUGGAUACAGCAGUCGCUCAGGGACCAGCAGACCAGGCCUGUAUUGGUGGGUGGGGACCCCUCUGGGGACAUGUAGGCUCCUGUUGUCCCUUAGCUCUGGAAACUGGUGUGCUUUCAGUUGUCCAGAAAGGACACCCCUGCCUCAACCCUGAUCCACCCUUCGAACCCCUCGGUCCCAGCCCAGAGCACCCUCCUACACCCCAAACUCCUCAUCCCCAGGCUCACCCCAGAGCCCGCACCCCCAGAUGGAGCAUUCAUGGCCCACUAUACAAUUUCUAUUCCCAGAUG